rnacentral:rRNA from 1 species
UACGAAGGGGGCUAGCGUUGCUCGGAAUCACUGGGCGUAAAGCGCACGUAGGCGGAUUGCUAAGUCAGGGGUGAAAUCCUGGAGCUCAACUCCAGAACUGCCUUUGAUACUGGCGACCUUGAGUCCGGGAGAGGUGAGUGGAACUGCGAGUGUAGAGGUGAAAUUCGUAGAUAUUCGGAAGAACACCAGUGGCGAAGGCGGCUCACUGGUCCGGUACUGACGCUGAGGAGCGAAAGCGUGGGGAGCGAACAGG